UGGACAGAUUAUUGUAUUCGACUGUAUUCACAGCGUGAAAUAGGGGAUUACACUGUUUUUAAAACGGUAAGUGAAGCAAUUAACAUAAUAGACUCCU
rfam:Nicotiana attenuata strain TT chromosome 2, whole genome shotgun sequence.